UGUGGCUUCACACAGCCCCUUCCUGUGGCUUCACACUGCCACUUCUUUGGCUUCACAAUACCCCUCCCUGUGGCUUCACAAUGCCUGUUCCUGUGACUACCCACUGCCUCUUCCUGUGGCUUCACACAGCCCCUUCCUGUGACUUGACACAGCCCCUUGCUGUUACUUCCCACUGCACCUUCUUGUAACUUCCUACUGCCCAUUCCUGUGGCCUCACACUGCCCCUUCCUGUGACUUCACAGCACCCCUUGCUGUGGUUUCACACGGCCCCUUCCUUUGACUUCACACUGCCUCUGUGACUUCUCACUGCCCCUUCCUGUGGAUUCACA
rnacentral:lncRNA from 1 species